rnacentral:rRNA from 1 species
UACAGAGGGUGCGAGCGUUAAUCGGAAUUACUGGGCGUAAAGCGCGCGUAGGCGGCUUUGCAAGUCGAUUGUGAAAUCCCCAGGCUUAACCUGGGAACUGCAUUCGAGACUGCAUAGCUAGAGUAUGGGAGAGGGAAGUGGAAUUUCAGGUGUAGCGGUGAAAAUGCGUAGAUAUCAGGAGGAACACCUGUGGCGAAAGCGGCUCACUGGACCACAACUGACGCUGAUGCGCGAAAAGCUAGGGGGGAGCAAAACAGG